rnacentral:rRNA from 1 species
UUAAGCGACUAAGCGUACACGGUGGAUGCCCUGGCAGUCAGAGGCGAUGAAGGACGUGCUAAUCUGCGAUAAGCGUCGGUAAGGUGAUAUGAACCGUUAUAACCGGCGAUUUCCGAAUGGGGAAACCCAGUGUGAUUCGUCACACUAUCAUUAACUGAAUCCAUAGGUUAAUGAGGCGAACCGGGGGAACUGAAACAUCUAAGUACCCCGAGGAAAAGAAAUCAACCGAGAUUCCCCCAGUAGCGGCGAGCGAACGGGGAGCAGCCCAGAGCCUGAAUCAGUGUGUGUGUUAGUGGAAGCGUCUGGAAAGGCGCGCGAUACAGGGUGACAGUCCCGUACACAAAAAUGCACAUACUGUGAGCUCGAUGAGUAGGGCGGGACACGUGGUAUCCUGUCUGAAUAUGGGGGGACCAUCCUCCAAGGCUAAAUACUCCUGACUGACCGAUAGUGAACCAGUACCGUGAGGGAAAGGCGAAAAGAACCCCGGCGAGGGGAGUGAAAAAGAACCUGAAACCGUGUACGUACAAGCAGUGGGAGCACAGAGCAAUCUGUGUGACUGCGUACCUUUUGUAUAAUGGGUCAGCGACUUAUAUUCUGUAGCAAGGUUAACCGAAUAGGGGAGCCGAAGGGAAACCGAGUCUUAACUGGGCGUUAAGUUGCAGGGUAUAGACCCGAAACCCGGUGAUCUAGCCAUGGGCAGGUUGAAGGUUGGGUAACACUAACUGGAGGACCGAACCGACUAAUGUUGAAAAAUUAGCGGAUGACUUGUGGCUGGGGGUGAAAGGCCAAUCAAACCGGGAGAUAGCUGGUUCUCCCCGAAAGCUAUUUAGGUAGCGCCUCGUGAAUUCAUCUCCGGGGGUAGAGCACUGUUUCGGCAAGGGGGUCAUCCCGACUUACCAACCCGAUGCAAACUGCGAAUACCGGAGAAUGUUAUCACGGGAGACACACGGCGGGUGCUAACGUCCGUCGUGAAGAGGGAAACAACCCAGACCGCCAGCUAAGGUCCCAAAGUCAUGGUUAAGUGGGAAACGAUGUGGGAAGGCCCAGACAGCCAGGAUGUUGGCUUAGAAGCAGCCAUCAUUUAAAGAAAGCGUAAUAGCUCACUGGUCGAGUCGGCCUGCGCGGAAGAUGUAACGGGGCUAAACCAUGCACCGAAGCUGCGGCAGCGACGCUUAUGCGUUGUUGGGUAGGGGAGCGUUCUGUAAGCCUGCGAAGGUGUGCUGUGAGGCAUGCUGGAGGUAUCAGAAGUGCGAAUGCUGACAUAAGUAACGAUAAAGCGGGUGAAAAGCCCGCUCGCCGGAAGACCAAGGGUUCCUGUCCAACGUUAAUCGGGGCAGGGUGAGUCGACCCCUAAGGCGAGGCCGAAAGGCGUAGUCGAUGGGAAACAGGUUAAUAUUCCUGUACUUGGUGUUACUGCGAAGGGGGGACGGAGAAGGCUAUGUUGGCCGGGCGACGGUUGUCCCGGUUUAAGCGUGUAGGCUGGUUUUCCAGGCAAAUCCGGAAAAUCAAGGCUGAGGCGUGAUGACGAGGCACUACGGUGCUGAAGCAACAAAUGCCCUGCUUCCAGGAAAAGCCUCUAAGCAUCAGGUAACAUCAAAUCGUACCCCAAACCGACACAGGUGGUCAGGUAGAGAAUACCAAGGCGCUUGAGAGAACUCGGGUGAAGGAACUAGGCAAAAUGGUGCCGUAACUUCGGGAGAAGGCACGCUGAUAUGUAGGUGAAGCGACUUGCUCGUGGAGCUGAAAUCAGUCGAAGAUACCAGCUGGCUGCAACUGUUUAUUAAAAACACAGCACUGUGCAAACACGAAAGUGGACGUAUACGGUGUGACGCCUGCCCGGUGCCGGAAGGUUAAUUGAUGGGGUCAGCGCAAGCGAAGCUCUUGAUCGAAGCCCCGGUAAACGGCGGCCGUAACUAUAACGGUCCUAAGGUAGCGAAAUUCCUUGUCGGGUAAGUUCCGACCUGCACGAAUGGCGUAAUGAUGGCCAGGCUGUCUCCACCCGAGACUCAGUGAAAUUGAACUCGCUGUGAAGAUGCAGUGUACCCGCGGCAAGACGGAAAGACCCCGUGAACCUUUACUAUAGCUUGACACUGAACAUUGAGCCUUGAUGUGUAGGAUAGGUGGGAGGCUUUGAAGUGUGGACGCCAGUCUGCAUGGAGCCGACCUUGAAAUACCACCCUUUAAUGUUUGAUGUUCUAACGUUGACCCGUAAUCCGGGUUGCGGACAGUGUCUGGUGGGUAGUUUGACUGGGGCGGUCUCCUCCUAAAGAGUAACGGAGGAGCACGAAGGUUGGCUAAUCCUGGUCGGACAUCAGGAGGUUAGUGCAAUGGCAUAAGCCAGCUUGACUGCGAGCGUGACGGCGCGAGCAGGUGCGAAAGCAGGUCAUAGUGAUCCGGUGGUUCUGAAUGGAAGGGCCAUCGCUCAACGGAUAAAAGGUACUCCGGGGAUAACAGGCUGAUACCGCCCAAGAGUUCAUAUCGACGGCGGUGUUUGGCACCUCGAUGUCGGCUCAUCACAUCCUGGGGCUGAAGUAGGUCCCAAGGGUAUGGCUGUUCGCCAUUUAAAGUGGUACGCGAGCUGGGUUUAGAACGUCGUGAGACAGUUCGGUCCCUAUCUGCCGUGGGCGCUGGAGAAUUGAGGGGGGCUGCUCCUAGUACGAGAGGACCGGAGUGGACGCAUCACUGGUGUUCGGGUUGUCAUGCCAAUGGCACUGCCCGGUAGCUAAAUGCGGAAGAGAUAAGUGCUGAAAGCAUCUAAGCACGAAACUUGCCCCGAGAUGAGUUCUCCCUGACUCCUUGAGAGUCCUGAAGGAACGUUGAAGACGACGACGUUGAUAGGCCGGGUGUGUAAGCGCAGCGAUGCGUUGAGCUAACCGGUACUAAUGAACCGUGAGGCUUAACCUU